GACGAACGCUGGCGGCGUGCUUAACACAUGCAAGUCGAGCGGUAAGGCCCCUUCGGGGGUACACGAGCGGCGAACGGGUGAGUAACACGUGAGCCAUCUGCCCUUCACACGGGGAUAACUCCGGGAAACCGAAGCUAAUACCCGAUACGCCCACCUCCGGCAUCUGAUGGGUGGGGAAAGUUCCGGCGGUGAAGGAUGAGCUCGCGGCCUAUCAGCUUGUUGGUGGGGUAACGGCCCGCCAAGGCAACGACGGGUAGCCGGCCUGAGACGGUGACCGGCCACACUGGGACUGAGACACGGCCCAGACUCCUACGGGAGGCAGCAGUGGGGAAUAUUGGACAAUGGGCGAAAGCCUGAUCCAGCAACGCCGCGUGAGGGAUGACGGCCUUCGGGUUGUAAACCUCUUUCAGCAGGGACGAAGCGCAAGUGACGGUACCUGCAGAAGAAGCACCGGCCAACUACGUGCCAGCCGCCGCAGUAAUAC
rnacentral:rRNA from 1 species